UAGGGAAUCUUCCACAAUGGACGAAAGUCUGAUGGAGCAACGCCGCGUGAGUGAAGAAGGGUUUCGGCUCGUAAAACUCUGUUGUUAAAGAAGAACAUAUCUGAGAGUAACUGUUCAGGUAUUGACGGUAUUUAACCAGAAAGCCACGGCUAACUACGUGACAG
rnacentral:rRNA from 1 species